rnacentral:rRNA from 1 species
GACAGAGGGGGCAAGCGUUGCUCGGAAUUACUGGGCGUAAAGGGCGCGUAGGCGGGAUGGCAAGUCGGUCGUGAAAUCCCUCGGCUCAACUGAGGAGCGUCGAUCGAAACUGCCGUUCUUGAGGGUUGCAGAGGAGACUGGAAUUCCCGGUGUAGCGGUGAAAUGUGUAGAGAUCGGGAGGAACACCGGUGGCGAAGGCGGCAUCCUGGACCAAAACUGACGCUGAAUAGCGAAAGCCAGGGGAGCAAACGGG